AAAUACAUCUGUUCCUACAGCAUCAUGGAGACCAAAGAGCUACCAAAAACAUCUGGUUAAAUCAGAUGCAUUUAUGACAAAGAACUACACAGAUGCAGAUGCCACGGCUGUGGAUUUGAGGAGAGUUGACUGCUCCGUAUUACACAAGCUGGGAUUCAUCCAACUCUGGACGCUGGGUUGAGGCUGGUGACUUCCAGCACUUUGUCCCUGACCCCCAUGUGUACCCCCAGAAACAGGACUUCACCCCCAUCACUCAGGGCCAGGCAUAUUACGGCCUACCUGCCCAGCCGUAUUACGCAAGUUGGGAUUCGUCCAACUCUGGCCCGCGGGUUGAGGAUGGUGACGUCCAACACGUUGUCUCUGCGCCCCACGUGCCCCACUUGGAACAGGACUUCUCCCCCAGCAGUCAGGGCCAGGUGUAUUACAGCCUGCCUGUCCAGCCACAGCCAUAUUACGCAAGUUGGGAUUCGUCGAGCUCUGAACCGUGGGUUGAGGAUGGUGAUGUCCAGCAUCUUGUCUUUGCCCCCAAUGUGUACCACCAGGAACAGGACUUCACUCCCAUCACUCAGGGCUAGGCGUAUUACAGCCUAGAUUCCCAGCAUCAUGUAGGAAUAGUUAUAUGCAUAAUUUUGGGGGUUUUUUUUUCAAAUGCAUUUGUAUGGAUAAAAAUGUCUGUGUUUUAUGUGAUAAACCAAUGAAGUCCUGGUUUGACUGGAAAUGGCCCAAUCAUUUAUUAAUUUAAAUAUCGUGUUAAAUAAGAAACUAAUGGCUGAAACAAGGGUCUGAUGACAAUUAUUUUGAGAUUGUGUCCAUGCUUUUAAGAAGACUUGCAGCUUAUAUUUGGUCCUCUUAAGUAUAUAUAUAUAUAUAGGACAUCUAUUUUUUGAAGAAAACCAUUCAAUCCAGUACGGGUCAUUUUGACCCCCUUUAUGCAUUCGUGAAGGUUUUUUUGGUUCAUGCAUUUUAGGGUUAAAUAUCAAAAAUCUAAAAGGUGUGCGUCAUACCUGACACCUAGAUGAACACUUUACAGUUGGUUUUGUGACUGUACAUUAUUCCCUUCAAAUGCUAUUGAGCUUUAAAUAAUGGUAUAUUUUGUGUAUGGGCCCAAAAUAAAGAAGCAUUUUCUG
ensembl:lncRNA